rnacentral:rRNA from 1 species
UUGAUCAUGGCUCAGGACGAACGCUGGCGGCGUGCCUAAUACAUGCAAGUAGAACGCUGAAGAGAGGAGCUUGCUCUUCUUGGAUGAGUUGCGAACGGGUGAGUAACGCGUAGGUAACCUGCCUUGUAGCGGGGGAUAACUAUUGGAAACGAUAGCUAAUACCGCAUAACAAUAGGUGACACAUGUCAUUUAUUUGAAAGGGGCAAUUGCUCCACUACAAGAUGGACCUGCGUUGUAUUAGCUAGUAGGUGAGGUAACGGCUCACCUAGGCGACGAUACAUAGCCGACCUGAGAGGGUGAUCGGCCACACUGGGACUGAGACACGGCCCAGACUCCUACGGGAGGCAGCAGUAGGGAAUCUUCGGCAAUGGGGGCAACCCUGACCGAGCAACGCCGCGUGAGUGAAGAAGGUUUUCGGAUCGUAAAGCUCUGUUGUAAGUCAAGAACGAGUGUGAGAGUGGAAAGUUCACACUGUGACGGUAGCUUACCAGAAAGGGACGGCUAACUACGUGCCAGCAGCCGCGGUAAUACGUAGGUCCCGAGCGUUGUCCGGAUUUAUUGGGCGUAAAGCGAGCGCAGGCGGUUUGAUAAGUCUGAAGUUAAAGGCUGUGGCUCAACCAUAGUUCGCUUUGGAAACUGUCAAACUUGAGUGCAGAAGGGGAGAGUGGAAUUCCAUGUGUAGCGGUGAAAUGCGUAGAUAUAUGGAGGAACACCGGUGGCGAAAGCGGCUCUCUGGUCUGUAACUGACGCUGAGGCUCGAAAGCGUGGGGAGCGAACAGGAUUAGAUACCCUGGUAGUCCACGCCGUAAACGAUGAGUGCUAGGUGUUGGAUCCUUUCCGGGAUUCAGUGCCGCAGCUAACGCAUUAAGCACUCCGCCUGGGGAGUACGACCGCAAGGUUGAAACUCAAAGGAAUUGACGGGGGCCCGCACAAGCGGUGGAGCAUGUGGUUUAAUUCGAAGCAACGCGAAGAACCUUACCAGGUCUUGACAUCCCGAUGCUAUUUCUAGAGAUAGAAAGUUACUUCGGUACAUCGGUGACAGGUGGUGCAUGGUUGUCGUCAGCUCGUGUCGUGAGAUGUUGGGUUAAGUCCCGCAACGAGCGCAACCCCUAUUGUUAGUUGCCAUCAUUCAGUUGGGCACUCUAGCGAGACUGCCGGUAAUAAACCGGAGGAAGGUGGGGAUGACGUCAAAUCAUCAUGCCCCUUAUGACCUGGGCUACACACGUGCUACAAUGGUUGGUACAACGAGUUGCGAGUCGGUGACGGCAAGCUAAUCUCUUAAAGCCAAUCUCAGUUCGGAUUGUAGGCUGCAACUCGCCUACAUGAAGUCGGAAUCGCUAGUAAUCGCGGAUCAGCACGCCGCGGUGAAUACGUUCCCGGGCCUUGCACACACCGCCCGUC